rnacentral:rRNA from 1 species
UACAGAGGGGGCAAGCGUUAUUCGGAAUUACUGGGCGUAAAGCGUGCGCAGGCGGUUAUGCAAGACAGGUGUGAAAUCCCCGGGCUCAACCUGGGAACUGCAUUUGUGACUGCAUGGCUAGAGUGCGGCAGAGGGGGAUGGAAUUCCGCGUGUAGCAGUGAAAUGCGUAGAUAUGCGGAGGAACACCGAUGGCGAAGGCAAUCCCCUGGGCCUGCACUGACGCUCAUGCACGAAAGCGUGGGGAGCAAACAGG